AAAGAGGGAGGGAGUCAACAUUUUUUAUAAUCAACUUAUAGGAGCAUGUGAGCAUUAAAAGUCUAUUUUAAGAUCUCACCUUAUUCAGAUGCAUACUAAAAUAAAUCUUUGCUUACCUCCCUUCCCUCCACUCCACCCUCUCACCCCACAAUCCCUCCCGUCUUCUCCCUCCAUCCCUAUUGUGUGAUGUAGUUAAUGUUGACAUAGUAUAGCAGAUACAGUAGAUGCAGCUGAUCUAAUAGAUCUAGUUGAUGUAGUCGGUCUAAGUAAUACAGUUGGUGUAGUAGGUUGGUUUAGUUGAUAUAGUUGAUGUGUAGUCGAUGUAGUCGAUACAGGUGAUGUAAUAAAUCUAGGUGGUGAGAGGUGGUGUAAUAGAUCUAGGUGAUGUAGUUGAUGUGGUGGGUGUAGAUUUAGUUCGUGUGUAGUUGAUACAGGUGGUGUAAUAGAUCUAGGUGAUGUAGUUGAUGUGGUGGGUGUAGAUCUAGUUGAUGUGGUGGGUGUAGAUUUAGUUCAUGUGUAGUUGAUACAGGUGGUGUAAUAGAUCUAGGUGAUGUAGUUGAUGUGGUGGGUGUAGAUUUAGUUUGUGUGUAGUUGAUACAGGUGGUGUAAUAGAUCUAGGUGAUGUAGUUGAUGUGGUGGGUGUAGAUCUAGUUGAUGUGGUGGGUGUAGAUUUAGUUUGUGUGUAGUUGAUACAGGUGGUGUAAUAGAUCUAGGUGAUGUAGUUGAUGUGGUGGGUGUAGAUCUAGUUGAUACAGGUGGUGUAAUAGAUCUAGGUGAUGUAGUUGAUGUGGUGGGUGUAGAUCUAGUUGAUGUGGUGGGUGUAGAUUUAGUUCGUGUGUAGUUGAUACAGGUGGUGUAAUAGAUCUAGGUGAUGUAGUUGAUGUGGUGGGUGUAGAUCUAGUUGAUGUGGUGGGUGUAGAUUUAGUUUGUGUGUAGUUGAUACAGGUGGUGUAAUAGAUCUAGGUGAUGUAGUUGAUGUGGUGGGUGUAGAUCUAGUUGAUGUGGUGGGUGUAGAUUUAGUUUGUGUGUAGUUGAUACAGGUGGUGUAAUAGAUCUAGGUGAUGUAGUUGAUGUGGUGGGUGUAGAUCUAGUUGAUACAGGUAGUGUAAUAGAUCGAGGUGAUGUAGUUGAUGUGGUGGGUGUAGAUCUAGUUGAUGUGGUGGGUGUAGAUUUAGUUCGUGUGUAGUUGAUACAGGUGGUGUAAUAGAUCUAGGUGAUGUAGUUGAUGUGGUGGGUGUAGAUCUAGUUGAUGUGGUGGGUGUAGAUUUAGUUCGUGUGUAGUUGAUACAGGUGGUGUAAUAGAUCUAGGUGAUGUAGUUGAUGUGGUGGGUGUAGAUCUAGUUGAUGUGGUGGGUGUAGAUUUAGUUCGUGUGUAGUUGAUACAGGUGGUGUAAUAGAUCUAGGUGAUGUAGUUGAUGUGGUGGGUGUAGAUCUAGUUGAUGUGGUGGGUGUAGAUUUAGUUCGUGUGUAGUUGAUACAGGUGGUGUAAUAGAUCUAGGUGAUGUAGUUGAUGUGGUGGGUGUAGAUCUAGUUGAUACAGGUGGUGUAAUAGAUCUAGGUGAUGUAGUUGAUGUGGUGGGUGUAGAUCUAGUUGAUGUGGUGGGUGUAGAUUUAGUUCAUGUGUAGUUGAUACAGGUAGUGUAAUAGAUCUAGGUGAUGUAGUUGAUGUGGUGGGUGUAGAUCUAGUUGAUGUGGUGGGUGUAGAUCUAGUUCAUGUGUAGUUGAUACAGGUGGUGUAAAAGAUCUAGGUGAUGUAGCGGAGUGGCUGU